UGCACUUCCCAUUAACUGCAA
rnacentral:piRNA from 1 species